GGGGAAUAUUGCACAAUGGAGGAAACUCUGAUGCAGCGACGCCGCGUGAAUGAUGAAGGCCUUCGGGUCGUAAAAUUCUGUCCUUGGGGAAGAUAAUGACGGUACCCAAGGAGGAAGCCCCGGCUAACUACGUGCCAGCAGCCGCGGUAAUACGUAGGGGGCGAGCGUUGUCCGGAAUUAUUGGGCGUAAAGGGUUCGCAGGCGGUCUGAUAAGUCAGAUGUGAAAGGCUAUGGCUCAACCAUAGCAAGCAUUUGAAACUGUCAGACUUGAGUUAAGGAGAGGAAAGUGGAAUUCCUAGUGUAGCGGUGAAAUGCGUAGAUAUUAGGAGGAAUACCAGUGGCGAAGGCGACUUUCUGGACUUAUACUGACGCUGAGGAACGAAAGCGUGGGGAGCAAAC
rnacentral:rRNA from 1 species